AGAGGGAUAGCUGGGUCAAAUGGUGGUUCCAUUCUCAAUUUUCUAAGAAAUCUCCAUACUGCUUUCCAUAUUGGCUGUACCAAUUUUUAGUUCCACCAGCAGU
rnacentral:pre_miRNA from 1 species